rnacentral:misc_RNA from 1 species
ACAUCCUCAACGCCUUGCUUUGUGCUGGGCGAUUGGACUUGGACGCCUGCCGGCUAGCCGGCUCGUCUUAAAUGCAUCAGUGAAUCCGGCCUCGAGUGCCGACCUUUCGACGUGACGGGUCCUUUGGACGAAACGUCGAUGUCAGUGUCGGAGCUUGGGACUUGGAGUUCGCUUCCAACCCGUCCCUCGGGACAACCGACUUUGGUCGGUUAAGGCUCUUUGGAGCUCUGUG